GGGUUGUGAGGUUAAGCGAAUAAGCGUACACGGUGGAUGCCUAGGCAAUCAGAGGCGAUGAAGGACGUGCUAAUCUGCGAAAAGCGUCGGUAAGGUGAUAUGAACCGUUAUACCCGACGAUAUCCGAAUGGGGAAACCCAGUAUCCAAUGGAUACUAUCAUUAACUGAAUCCAUAGGUUAAUGAGGCGAACCGGGAGAACUGAAACAUCUCAGUACCCCGAGGAAAAGAAAUCAACCGAGAUUCCCCUAGUAGCGGCGAGCGAACGGGGAGCAGCCCAGAGUCUUAAUCAAUAGCAGUGUCAGGAGAACGGUCUGGAAAGUCCGGCAGUAAAGGGUGAUAGCCCCGUAUCUGAAGAUGCUGUUGUUGUGAACUCGACGAGUAGGGCGGGACACGUGUUAUCCUGUCUGAAUAUGGGGGGACCAUCCUCCAAGGCUAAAUACUCCUGAUUGACCGAUAGUGAACCAGUACCGUGAGGGAAAGGCGAAAAGAACCCCGGCGAGGGGAGUGAAAAAGAACCUGAAACCGUGUACGUACAAGCAGUAGGAGCCUCUUUAUGGGGUGACUGCGUACCUUUUGUAUAAUGGGUCAGCGACUUAUAUUCUGUAGCAAGGUUAACCGUAUAGGGGAGCCGUAGGGAAACCGAGUCUUAACUGGGCGAAUGAGUU
rnacentral:rRNA from 1 species